CAGAGGAUGCAAGCGUUAUCCGGAAUGAUUGGGCGUAAAGCGUCUGUAGGUGGCUUUUUAAGUCCGCCGUCAAAUCCCAGGGCUCAACUCUGGACAGGCGGUGGAAACUACCAAGCUGGAGUACGGUAGGGGCAGAGGGAAUUUCCGGUGGAGCGGUGAAAUGCGUAGAGAUCCGGAAGAACACCAGUGGCGAAGGCGGUUAGCUGGGCAGUUGCUGACACUGAUGCGCGACAGCGUGGGGAGCAAACAGG
rnacentral:rRNA from 1 species